UUUGCUAGUUUAAGAAAAAAAACAAGCAGAAAACAGUCUCUAAAAACAGCUCUGAUGCACAUUUUAGCGUGUCACUAUGCACGGAAUUUUGAUGGUUUAUCUUCUUCUUUUUUUUCUUUUAUUGAAGAGAGUGGUGAUCGUCUCACCAGGGCCUCCUAGGUGUUGGAGCAGCUCAGUGGCCAAAAUCCAGUUUUUUCUCAAAAGAAGCUCAUGACUCCACCACCACCACUAAAGCGGUCCUCCACUGUUCAUCAGUCCCUCAUCACUCGCAGCUGGAUCAUCCUUGCUGCUCACACGUACCGGGAGGCUGCUCUCAUGCACCAAGAGGAUAGCGAAGUGGCUGAUGGACUAUAGAUAAAAGGGGAAGCUUGCAAAUGGACAGAAUUUUUAUUUAUGAGUCUUCCUGAGUUUUAUGUAUGAUAAGUAUCUCGGGAAUGUUUGUUAAAUGGACACUUUUAGAAAGUGCUUUGUAACAAACUAUACUCUCCUAAACUGGCU